UUUAGCUUUAGCAUUUUCAAUGUUCAGUGGUACAUAAUGCGUCUUCAAUUUUAUUUAUCCCAAUAUUAUGUUGUAAACACAACUAUUCAAAAAGAUCAUCGUAUCACUGAGCUCAUUGCUAUAAAAAAAAAAUUAAAAAUUCCUUCUCCGCGCGGCGGUUAAACUUUUGCUUUGGCUAUAAAAAAAUAACCAAGAGAGCGUUCGCAACGCGUACAUAAUAAAUAACGAUUGCACAUUUCAUAGCGUCGUCGUUUCGAUUUUAUGCGCGUUUUUGCCGCCGGUGCGACAUCAAUAUGCAUUCGAGUCGCGUGCCCGCCGGUCAGCUGUUUCUUCUAGCAAGCUGCGCGCCGUAUAAGGAAACCGGGCUCGGCUCGCCGGAUGGAUUACGUCGAUUACAUCGCAAUUAUCCGGGCGCUGUGCUCGCGGCCGCUACGUAACGUUAAACCACUUUCGCGAUCUUUGUUCGCGCGACAUUGACCCCGGUUCGGUCGGACGAGCGAUGCUGCUUAUGUAAUUUUUCGGCUACCGUCGCCGUGCCGGUGGCAUUGGCCUUCGCGCGCCUCUUUUGUGUCUACGCUCCGCAUAGCUUGCGUCAUUCAAUACAAAUCGCUGUACAAACUUUCAGUCUGUAAUGCAUCCCAGUUAGGUAAUUAGGCAGCUGGUUCGUGCGCUUCUGUGGUACUUGCAGCUCCGACCAUGAGAACCCGACCCUGACCACUCCACCACUAGCGAUAGUUGUGGUCACCAUAUCGGUGGUAUGUUUAGGUUAACCGUAAUGUUAAGCUUGUUAAGUCAGUCACUGACGGUUAAGUAAUCUCAAUAUCAACGGCUUGACAGCCGAUAGAACUGAUCGUAUGUUGGCCGUGAUGUGCAUGACAUCAUGCCGAUCGAGACCAAUACACGAUCAGUUUUACCAGCUGUCAAGCCGUUAGCGCUGCAGGCAUGUGAGAUUACUUGAUCGUCAGUGGCUGCGACAGCGACCCGCUAUUACUCUAUAAAUAUUGAAGUUUUUAAUUAACCUGACUCUAAAGUCAGGUUUCGAGGCCGAGGGAACUGAGGUUUGAUCACGUCUUGCCCGCUCAUAGCAGAUAAAUUUUUGCUUAAUUGAAAAAGG